rnacentral:rRNA from 1 species
AUUGAACGCUGGCGGCAGGCCUAACACAUGCAAGUCGAGCGGAUGAGUGGAGCUUGCUCCAUGGUUCAGCGGCGGACGGGUGAGUAAUGCCUAGGAAUCUGCCUGGUAGUGGGGGACAACGUUUCGAAAGGAACGCUAAUACCGCAUACGUCCUACGGGAGAAAGCAGGGGACCUUCGGGCCUUGCGCUAUCAGAUGAGCCUAGGUCGGAUUAGCUAGUUGGUGAGGUAAAGGCUCACCAAGGCGACGAUCCGUAACUGGUCUGAGAGGAUGAUCAGUCACACUGGAACUGAGACACGGUCCAGACUCCUACGGGAGGCAGCAGUGGGGAAUAUUGGACAAUGGGCGAAAGCCUGAUCCAGCCAUGCCGCGUGUGUGAAGAAGGUCUUCGGAUUGUAAAGCACUUUAAGUUGGGAGGAAGGGCAGUAAGUUAAUACCUUGCUGUUUUGACGUUACCGACAGAAUAAGCACCGGCUAACUUCGUGCCAGCCGCCGCAGUAAUAC